UGGGGAAUCUUGGACAAUGGGGGCAACCCUGAUCCAGCGACGCCGCGUGGGUGAUGAAGGCCUUCGGGUUGUAAAGCCCUUUCGACGGGGACGAUGAUGACGGUACCCGGCGAAGAAGCACCGGCUAACUCCGUGCCAGCAGCCGCGGUAAGACGGAGGGUGCUAGCGUUGUUCGGAAUCACUGGGCGUAAAGGGCGCGUAGGCGGCCUUUGGUGUCGGAUGUGAAAGCCCGGGGCUCAACUCCGGAGGUGCAUCCGAAACUCGAAGGCUGGAGGCCGGAAGAGGAGGGUGGAAUACCCAGUGUAGAGGUGAAAUUCGUAGAUAUUGGGAGGAACACCGGUGGCGAAAGCGGCUCUCUAGACCGAUACUGACGCUCAUACGCGAGAGCGUGGGUAGCAAACAGGAUUAGAUACCCUGGUAGUCCACGCCGUAAACGAUGGAUGCUAGGUGUUCGGGGAGUUGACCCCCGAGUGCCGAAGUCAACACAUUAAGCAUCCCGCCUGGGAAGUACGGUCGC
rnacentral:rRNA from 1 species